ACAUACGGCCACAGGCGAAUGAAAGCUAGAAAACCCGUCCGCUCUUUCCUAUAUAAGCAUUAGACCGCGAGAUUAGUACUACGGUAGGUGACUACGUGGGAAUCCCUCGUGCUGUAUGUU
rfam:Dothistroma septosporum NZE10 unplaced genomic scaffold DOTSEscaffold_10, whole genome shotgun sequence.